rnacentral:lncRNA from 1 species
AAAUCAGUUUUUUGCUUUGUCGUCAUGGUGUAUGGAGUGUAGAUUGAUGUGGGGGGAAAAAGUUAUUUUAAAGCAGUUUAACAUAAGGCUAACAUAAAAAAGUGAAAAAAAAAUUCAGGGGUAUGAAUAUUUUUCAUAGGCACUGUAUAUGUGUAUUAUAUAUAUAUAUAUAUAUAUACUGGAGUAAUGCUAUUGUGUGUAGACCACCCAACCCUGGAGCCCAGACACUUUGUGGAGGAGAAGGUCGUAAACGAGUACCACCAAGACUACAUGUUUCUGGAGUGCAUUAAAUUCAUCAAUGAGGGAGGUUGUGUUUGGACUCCACUCGUAUGAGUCAUUUCCUUCCUUUCCUGCAUGUUGUUGUGAAUCACUCCUAAGGCCCCUAGAGCCCACCCCCUCCUUUCUCUUUCCUCUCUCUCUCUCUCUCUCUCUCUCGCUCUCAUUUCCUUCUCUUCAUUCCUCUUUGAGGGGCUAGUGGGUCUCUGGUACGUACGUACGACGUAGAGUAGUGUGUGUGUGUGUGUGUGUGUGUGUGUGUGUGUGUGUGUGUGUGUGUGUGUGUGUGUGUGUGUGUGUGUGUGUGUGUGUGUGUGUGUGUGUGUGUGUGUGUGUGUGUGUGUGCAUUCAUACAUGUAUGAAUUUAAUUGUGUUUGAGUGUCUGUCAGUCUGGUUUAAAUGCUUGAGCUAUAGUGUUUCAACAGUGCCCUCUGCUGUCUGUUGAUAACAUAGCAGUACAUAAAUGCUCAUUCACACACUCCAUAAACAGAAUCCACAAUAAAUGGAAAAAGUACAGUUGCUCCUCUGUGAUUAGAUUUAGCAUCUAAAGAAAUAAUGAAGUCCUUGAGAAAUGUUGUUGCUGUAGACCGGUAGCUUCAGCGCUGUGGUGAGCUCAGUAACAGCCAAGUGUGUGUGGUUAUAGGCCUACUCAUUGAUUAUAUGUCAGUCUGAUCUCCACUGAGUGCCCAUUACAGCAGACAAAGCCAGAUGAAUACACACACACUACCAUAACACACACAUACCAGGUUACGUUAGUUUUAAGUCAUAUUUUUCUUCUGUUGUUAGCAUGCUUUACUGACAUCAUUUAGCGUGAUAAGAAUCAUAUGGUGUUGUGAUAUAUUAAGGGUUUUGUAACUCUCUCAAGGAAACAUUCAUAUUAGUGUUAAGGAAUAGCUAGAUAAAUUAGCAGAGCCAAUAUAACCCAAAGUAUGCUUCAGCCUAUGCUAGGGUAAGGUUACAGAGCGUGUGGCAUAAAUUUCAUUCAUAAGCAUAUUAAAUAGUACUGAAAAUAGGUUACAACAAACUAGUGUGCUAAAAUGUUGUAACCUACUGUACACAGUAAAUUUAUAUUUAGCUAAAUAUGUUGCUGUUACUUACUAUAGCCUAUAAAUUCAUUCUUCUUUAGUUUAUUAGUUGAUAUUUAGCUAAAUAUGUUGCUGUUACUUACUAUAGCCCUAUAAAUUCAUCUUCUUUAGUUUUAUUAGUUGUAUUUGCUGACUUUACUGUAAAUAGAUUCCAUUAGGUAGUUUUAAUUACUUUUUGUUAGUAGCUUGUAACUGCUUUUUCAAAAAGAUAGCUUGACCGUAGCUACUACUGAACAUUACUUCACACACAUACACACACACACACACACACACACACACACACACACACACACACACAGAGAGAGAGAGAGAGAGAGAAGGAGAGAGAGAGAGAGAGAGAGAGAGAGAGAGAGAGAGAGAGAGAGAGAAAGAAAAGAUGAUGAGAGAAAAAUAUAAGCUUGAUGACAAAAUUCUACAUGACAGUUAGCCUGCAGAAUUAAAAGAGCUCUGGUGGGAAAAUGACAAAGAUGACAGAAAAUGUAUCAAUGGCAGAUUAAGGAUGAGAGGAUGUAUUUUCUUGGCUCUUGUUUGAAUUCUUUUUGUUUAAUCUUUCAUAAUAGAUGAUCAAAAUGAAUCAUAAUGGAGCCUGUCAUCAACAAUUGAAUGAAAAAUGUUAAGUUUGUGUGUGAUGUGCUCAAAAGACUUCUAGCCCAGCUAACAGAUUGAAGGGAAACUUUAUUUAUUUAUUUAUUUAUUUAUUUAUUGGUUUAUUCAUAAUUGAUAGUCUUCUGCAUUU